GGGGAAUAUUGCACAAUGGGCGAAAGCCUGAUGCAGCGACGCCGCGUGAGGGAUGAAGGCCUUCGGGUCGUAAACCUCUUUCGGCAGGGACGAAGCGAUCAGUGACGGUACCUGCAGAAGAAGCCCCGGCUAACUACGUGCCAGCAGCCGCGGUAAGACGUAGGGGGCGAGCGUUGUCCGGAUUCAUUGGGCGUAAAGCGCGCGUAGGCGGCUGCGCAAGUCGGUUGUGAAAUUCCGGGGCUCAACCCCGGAACUGCGUCCGAUACUGCGUGGGUAGAGGUAGGUAGGGCAGAUGCGAAUGACCGGUGUAGAGGUGAAGUUCCUGUGUAUCGGGAGGAACACCAGUGGCGAAGGGGGCACGCUGAACAGUGGUUGACGCAGCAGUGCGAAGGCGUGGGGAGCAAACA
rnacentral:rRNA from 1 species